rnacentral:lncRNA from 1 species
ACCCCUCCCCUGCUCACACUCUGUGUCUCUCUGUCUCUCAGUAAUAAAUAAACGUUAAAAUUUUUUUUAAAAGAAAAGUUACACAAAUAUUCAGUAAUACCAGUUUGUUGUUUUACCUUGAGUGGCUUCAAAACAUUGCGUACCUAAGUGACAUUAUUGGCCCCAGAAAAAUCUUUGGAGAAAGUACAAAUGAAUAAAAUUACAGGACUGAAAUCUUUGGACUCUAAAAUUUGAGAGGCCUGUCCAUAAAUGAGUUCUCAUUUCCAAACUGAAUUUAUCACUUACCAUUAAUCUGUGCAAAUUGUGAUUGAUUUUAGAAAAUCUGUGAAAAGUUGAGUUUUUAGAAACUGGAGAAUUUUACAGCUCUGAAUGGCUUUCUUCAAAGUAGUAACUCCUAGAAUCAUGUAUUUUUCUUUCUUUAUUUUUUAUUUAUUUUUGAGAGUGAGAGACAGAGCAUGAGCAGGGGAGGGGCAGAGAAAGAAGGAGACACAGAAUCUGCAGUGGGCUCCAGGCUCUGAGCUGUCAGCACAGAGCCCAAUGCGGGGCUUGAAGUCAGGAACCGUGAGAUCAUGACCUGUGCUGAAGUCGAAUGCUCAACUCACUGAGCCACCCAGGCACCCCAGAACCAUCUAUUUUUUAAUUCAAGAGUGUCACAUAGGAUUAUGGUUUAUAAUUUUUCAAAUUCUACUUAUUUUGUUUUGAAUGGGUAAAAAACCACCAUAACUUGUAAAGUCUGAGCACAUCACAUACUUUAGAUAAUGGGAAUUGUUAGCUAACAUUAAUUGAACACUUGUGAUACCCGAUACUAUCCUAAACCUUUUGCAUCUUGGAAUAAUUGAAUCUCCCUAACAACCCAAUAAGGUAGACACUAUUGUGAUUUCCAUUUCACAGAUCAGGAAACGGAGAUAAUGACAAAUGAAGUGACUCUUUCUGAGGACUAACAGAUGUAAGUGGAGGAAUCAGAAUUUGGAUCCAGGAUGGAAACAAAGCCUACACUUACAAGAUGUGCAGAGGAGAAAGGUUUACCACAGCUGCUCAAGGAAGAUGGACCCAGAAUAAGAAAUUUUCUACUUGGAUUUGGGGAAACAGUAAAUUCAUUCAGGAACAAAAAAGAAAAAAAAAGAAAGAAAGAAAAGAAAAGAAAAGCAAGGUUUAGAAAAGAAACACUGCCACCACAAGCUACAGAUUCCAUUGUUUCUAGGGAAAAAUUCAUUUACAUCAAAUAUCUGAAGCUGUCAGUGCACACAAAGACUUUGAAAGCAUUUGUUUGGAGCUAA